rnacentral:tRNA from 1 species
AGUCGCCAAGCGGUAAGGCACUAGACUUUGACUCUAGUAGGCGUAGGUUCGAAUCCUGCCUA